UAAGGAAACACGACAUAAAUGCACAAGAACAAGCCAACUAAGUCGCAUAAAUAUGCUCCUAUCAUAAAGUGAAGGAAAUUGGUGAAAAUAUGAGAUUUAACCUUAUGUUUUUAGUGAUUUGAUGUUGGUCAUAAAUCAAUGUGGAAGGAAUCAAGAAAUUGAAAUAAGGAAACGUAAGUAAUGAUAAUUAAUUAAACUAGUGUUUAGUUGGACUUAUCCCCAUUAAUUAUUUCAGAAAAUAACUCGGUAAUAGGGCGUUAUAAUGGUGCAUUUUACACCACAUUAUAUAUAUAUAUAUAUAUGUAUGUGUGUGUAUAUAUAUGUAUGUAUAUAUAUAUAUGUAUGUAUAUAUAUAUGUAUGUAUGUAUAUAUAUGUAUGUAUGUAUAUAUAUAUGUAUAUGUACAUAUAUAUACAUACAUAUAUAUGUAUGUAUAUAUAUAUAUAUAUAUAUGUAUGUAUAUAUAUGUAUGUAUGUAUGUAUAUAUAUAUGUAUAUUUACAUAUAUAUAUACAAACAUAUAUAUGUAUAUAUAUAUAUAUGUAUAUAUUGGAAAAAUGCUAUAACAUGGUUGAGUAUUAGAUUGCAUCAUGGUUUAUCUAUAUGUAUAUUACCUGCACAUAAUUAUUGUAAAUGCUUUGAAGUGCAAAGGCGAACGUAGGACACCCAGGUAAGUUCAGGUGAGUUUAUGGUAUUAGUUGAAAUGAUUGAGUUAUGGCAUGACUACAUGCAUGUUUUAAGUAACUCCGACACUGUUGUACGAGUUGCCUAUGAAUCGUACAUGUUAUGUUGAGAUAUAUUGAGAGCUCAUAAACCUGCACCCCGAUGUUAGUGCUCCCGCCCGUGGCCAGGGCACAGUCUUUCACGUGAUGUUCACCUCCCGCACCUUACGCUCACCUUGGAUCCAAGGUAGGUGCACAGUUCUGUUGUACAGACCAUAUUAGGUGGUUCCGACUUGUAGGUGACCCAUAAUUAUUCGCACAACCUUCACGUGAUCGUAGCACUUGAGCGUAUUUAUUUAUACCCAGUCCUGUCGUACAGACCACUUAGGUGGUUUCGACUCAUGUGCAGAUAUACUUAUUGAGCUAUGGAUAAGUCAUACAUGUCACUAGAGUUGACUCCGACUUAUGAGUUAGCAUAUAUGAUGAAAUAUGUGAUGAGCUAACAUAUAUGAUAAGAUAUGUGAUGAGCUAGCAUAUAUGACGAGAUAUGUGAUGAGCUAGCAUAUAUGACGAGAUAUGUGAUAAGCUAGCAUAUAUGCGAGAUAUGUGAUGAGCUAGCCUUGAUUGAUGAGAUAUAGAUAAAUCAUAUAGGUCACAUGAGGUGACUCUGGCUAACAUAUUGAUGAGCUAUUAAUUCAGCCGUACAGGCCACUAUAGGUGGAUCCAGCUAAUAUGCCAUUUCAUAUUGAUUUAUUUCACAUGAGUACUUAUUCUUAUUGAGAUGUUUGGCACGGUAUAACUGUGAGACUAUUAUUUUGGUUAUGGUAUUGAUUUAUAGUCACGCUUGUUAUUUUCCGGGGAAAUUAUACAGGUAUUACGGUGAGAGGUUACUGCAUUUGGUAGUUGGAUUGGUUUGAAAAGUUUUGUUUCACUCACUCACAUUUUCUAUUUUUGUACCCCUUCAGGUUCUAGCAGCAGAGUUCCGUAUUGAUGAAGAUUCGUGACACUUUUCGAUACAGAUGUUUUCUUAUGAUGGAAUGAUCAUUGUCUCACUUUACUGCACUAUACCUAUGCUCUGUAUCACGUGUGAAAUGGGUCCAUAUCCGCUCACCGCACACUCUGGUAUUUAGGACAUCUUAGGUUUAAAUUUAUUCAUAUUUUUCCACAUCAUCACACUUUAUGGCUUCGUCACCUUCCAGGUGUUAGCCAACACAGCUUGAUUCAGAGUCCUAGUAGACAUUCUGGGUCGGCGUGUGUCAGGAUGCGUUGUUUUUUGUUAUAUGUAGAUGCACUUAAAGCUCAUUAUCCUGCACCCCGGUGCUAAUGCUCCCACCCGUGUUCAGGGCACAGUCCUUCACGUGAUGUUCACCUCCCGCACCACACGCUCACCUUGGAUCCAAGUUUGGUGAACAGCCCUAUUGUACAUACCACAUUAGGUGGUUCUGACUAGUAGGUGACCCGCGAUUAUUCGCACAGCCUUCACGUGAUCGUAGUACUUGAGCGUACUUAUUUGCACCUAGCCCUGUUGUACAGACCACAAUAGGUGGUUCCGACUCGUGUGCAGGCAUACCUGAUAAGCUAUAGGUUCAGCUGUACAUGUCACGUUAGGUGACUCCGGCUGACAUAUCAUUUAUAUUGUUUUAUUUCACCUGACUUACAUAUUUAUUACUGAGAUACUUGACAUGGCACUCACUUUGGUUUUCAUUGCUCUCGAGCGUGAUUUCUAUAUACGUAUGUAUUAUUAUUUUCUGGAAAACUAUACGGGUUUUACGAUGAGAGGUUAUUACUUUUGAAAAGAGAAAUGGUUUUGAAAAGCUUUAUUUUUGCACACUCAUGUUUUUUGUUUUGCGCCCCUCCAAAUUCUAGAUAGAAGUUUGUGACAUCCAUCAAUGUAGGGUUUUCUUUUAUAUAAUUAGUAUUUAGCCUGUUGGACUGCACCUUGGUACCUACGCUCUAAUUAUGUGUAUUUACACUCUAACAUUUCCGCUCGUACUUAUAUACUAGUUUAGUGUAAGUUAGUUUGGUUUUUUUUUAUUUACCCACAUUUUCAUAUCAGUUACUUUCGCACUAUGCACAUGGCUACGUCAUCAUCACGUGAUAGCCAGCACGCCUUGAUUUAGGUCGGGGUGUGUCAUUGUGGCGCAAGUUUUUCGUGCCAAAAAAAUUACCCCGCUUUUUCUUGUUGACUUUACGCGGUGACAUCAAAUAUUCGUCGCACGAAGUAUUCUUGCGCGAUAAACGUUUUCGUCACACAAAUUUUUUUUUUCCUAUCUUGUCUAUUUUACGCGACGAAACAUUUUGUCUGUUGCGCAAGUACAUUUUGUGCGACGAAAUAUUCUUCCUCACGCAAGCUAUUUUUUCUACUAGUGAGAGGAACUUGACAAAUAUAUAUUAAUAAUUAGUUGUGAAAAUAACAUGUUUCCUCUUUAGUUUUUUCAUUCGUUUUCCAUCCGACGCCAAAGACAUGUAAGGUUGUAUAUAAUUUUCCCUCUCCAUUUUCUCGAUUCAUGAUUUGCUAAUCUGCUUAAAUGUCAAAAGCACUCGACACCAUCCCAAUUUUAUAUUCUGUCAUCCAACUAUGUCUUUCAACCAACAAGAGCAUAUUUUUUGAAACAUGUUACUUAUGAAAGCAAACUGAUUCAUCAAAUGCUCAACUUUGACUAUACGACAAAACGAGUAAAACAAAAAUGAAGAAGAAGAAAUAUAAUUAAAAUAAAUAUAUUGUAAUGUUUGGAGUCAUCACAAAUAUACAUAACUGCAGUUUAUUAGCUGCUAAAUAUAAAUCAUUGACCUAAACAAUGAUUAAUUAAUCUCAUUCACGUUUUCCAUGUGAUUACUGCCACCUUUUUUAAUCAAUCAUGGAUUCCUAUUGGUCAAAUGAUAAAUAAAAUAAAUAUGCAUCUGGAAGGUUUUGAACUUUUAAAAGCGUUGUUCUAAAUAUACAAAGCACAAAUGGGGCCGCUUGAAUGUAUAAACUAUAUAGUUAUUUCCAAUUUUGGAUAAAUCCAAUUUCCUUUCUUCCUGGAGCGAUGCCUCAUUUUAAUUCUUAAUAAACUUUUUUUUUACUUAGAUUACUGAAUCACGAUUUUUUAUUUUUUUUUCCUAGUGCCAUUUCAUAUCAGAUACGAGUAUCUUGCCGUUUUCUUUCCCCAUUUACAUGGACAAUGUUGAUUGAAAAUUAAGCAAAAUCAUUGAGCCAUUUAGAAUUAAUAAAACUAGAUCUUCAUGAUCUUCCAAUAAAGUCAAUUGCUUGUUACUAAAAGCUACAGCUCACAAAGGAAGACCACAAAAUUGAAUUUAAGGUCGAAAUUCAAAUAUGUAAAAGAGUACUCCAUUGCCACAUUACUCUGUUUGAGUUUUAGAGUAAAGGGUAACUCACACGAAAUGUAGUUAUUAAUAAUAUUACUUUUAUAAAAACAUUAAGGUGGUGAUUUGUUGAGUCCAAGGUUCUAAAAGAC
rnacentral:lncRNA from 1 species